CACCGCGGUCAUACGAUCGACCCAAAUUAAUAGAAGCACGGCGUAAAGAGUGUUAAGGAGCCACAUGAAAUAAAGUCAAACCUUAAUUAAGCUGUAAAAAGCCCUAAUUAAAAUUAAGCCAAACUACGAAAGUGACUUUAAUAUAAUCUGAUCACACGACAGCUAAGAUC
rnacentral:rRNA from 1 species